CACCGCGGCCAUACGAGUGAGCCCAAGUGGACAGUCUCUCGGCGUAAAGCGUGGUUAGGAAUAAAAUGCCCACUAAAGCUAAACCCUGUCAAAGCCGUAGUACGCACUCGACAACGUGAAACCCCACCACGAAAGUGACUUUAAACAAACCCGAACCCACGAAAGCUAAGAAA
rnacentral:rRNA from 1 species